rnacentral:rRNA from 1 species
AAAACUUUCAACAACGGAUCUCUGUCUGGCAUCGAUGAAGAACGCAGCGAAAUGCGAUAAGUAAUGUGAAUUGCAGAAUUCAGUGAAUCAUCGAAUCUUUGAACGCACAUUGCGCCCCUCGGUAUUCCGGGGGGCAUGCCUGUUCGAGCGUCAUUA